rnacentral:sRNA from 1 species
CGAUAAUCGAUUCCGGUACAGCUCUAAUAAUCGAUAAGCCGAAAAGCAAAAUGGCAGACGUAGAAAAGGAAACCGAGAAGAAAAUCUUGUAAAUAAUCCGUAAAAAAAUUGCAUAUUUGUCGCAAACAUUAUGCCAAUUGCGCGAAACGCGAGUGCAUAAUAAAUGUAAUGUGCAAUUUGUUUGCUAGAUCCAUUUCAACUACCACAAAGUGCUCGCGUGUGUGUCUGCGGCGGCAAAAGCAAAGCCCAGAGUAAUAUAUCCCAAUCGAAAUUCGCUCGAACGCGACAACCAAAACAGGCAGCAAACAAAGCAACAAAUGUGGCGACAAUGCCAACCAGCGGGCACGGGCAUAAUUUCGCAUGCAUUCUUAAAAUGUGCAAUUUGCAAAAACAAAUAAUAUUACUACAAUAAAAAGCGGGCAGUGAACAAAACAAAAGUGUAAGCCUUAGCAUACACUCAUACACACACACAGAGACAAAGUGCGUGCAAAAACAAAAAUAGUGAAGCAAACGGUCGAAGAAACAGAAAUCGAAGGAGGGGUAGCGGUAGCGCGCAUCUAUUGCUUAUAGCAGUGCA